rnacentral:lncRNA from 1 species
CUAGGCUUUCCCUGGAGAACACAGGACAGCUGAACGCUUGGGGAAGAAUUACUUCUGCUAUGGCACGGUUCUCUUGAGCAGAGAACUUUAAAGGGAUCAUUAUCUGCUUGUAAGGAAUGGAGGUCAGCAUGCCUGAAAACAGGAGUUGUGCAGAUAACCUUGCCAUAUUUAGAAUUCUAUGCCUGGAAACAGCGUAAGUGCUCUUCCAUAUAAAAUUGGGGAGAAGAUGCUGGUGGAUGUGGAUAUUAAAACCUCCCCCUGGGGGCUAAAAAGAGACAUCAGGAGAGGCUCAGGAUCAAACAAUAUCUCCAUAUGACUCCUGGGAAGAAUUAAAGGCGGAACAAUGUUCCGUCUCCGGAGGGAUCUGUACUUGGAAAGAGAACUCAGAGAGCACGUGGUGGCCGGCCCCAUCUGCAGACCCAAAACUAGAGAGUCCACGUUUGCGAACCCAUCUGCACUUUCGACUUUCCCUGAUCACUACGUGUCUGGCUGCUCUCAGACUGCGAUGACAUCAUUUAAAAAAAAUGUAAAUAACUGUCCUUUGGGUCUUUCAAGAACCUAGUGAUUGAGGAGAGGGCAACGGUGAAUCUCGAGGAAGGCUGUGUCGUGGGACCUUCAGGCAUUGUUUAAUCUGUGCAGGGCGCAGUCUUGGGCAGGCCCCAGCCCUCUCCUCUGCCCACUCGCAAAGCCCGGCCUGCUUGCUCCACCGGCAACUGGGCUGGAGGAGAGGCGAGGGGCAGGGUGGGUGCUAAGAUCCUGUGCGAAAAGCCAGGACCCUCGUGGUACCUAGGGAAAUGAAAAUCGCGUUGACAGUAGUCCAACGCUUUCCUUUUCUCAUUCACCCCUCGGGCAGCACAACGAGACAGGCA